CGGCAAGAUGAUCUACAUUUACACCUGGAUUUGGGCCGUGGUGUGGUGCAUCUGCGGAUGGGUCGGCCCCUUAAGCAUCCUAACGUACCUUGUCGCCAUAGUGACGCAGCAGAUUGCCCUGCGCUUCCCGCAGGACUUGGCAAAGAAGUACAAGACGCACUGGGGCCUCGUGACCGGUUCCAGUAGUGGAAUUGGCAAGGCCAUCGCUGAGAAGCUAGCUGGCCAGGGCAUCAACGUCGUGCUUGUGGCCCUGGAUGACAAGAUGCUCGCCGACACGUUCGCGGAGCUGCAGAAAAAGUAUCCGCGCGUGCAGUUCCGAAAGGUCGGCGUCAACCUUUCUGCCAAAGACUACGCCUACAUGAAGGACAUCACCAGCCAGACGGAUGACAUUGAGGUCGGUCUCGUCUUCAAUAACGCCGGCUACAUCUGCACCGGCCUCUUUGCGGACACUGAUCUCGAGCGCCUGCGCUGCAAUCUGGAGUGCAACGCCGGAUGCGCCGUGCCCAUCACGCACCACUUCCUGCGCAAGAUGAUCGAGCGCAAGUCGAAGGGUCUCAUCACCUUCACCUCGUCCGUCGCGUGCUACCUGCCUGGCCCAACGGCCACCAUGUACAGUCCCUCCAAAGCCUUCCUCACGAGCUUCGCCACCACCAUCGCGGCUGAGAACCACGACCUUGGCAUCGAUGUUGUCGUCAUCCAUCCGUCCCCAGUGAACACGAACUUUUACAAGAACGAGGGACCGGCGCUCGACUCGCUCAAGACGGCCCAGAAGUCUGCCAUCUCUCCGAUGAACAUUGCGGAGCAGAUCUUCGCCUCUGCGGGUCGUCUCACUGUGUUGGAUCAGGGCAGCAUGUGCAUGAGCAUCCGCAUCAUCAACAAGGUGCUCGACUUCCAGAUUUUCACAGAGAUCAUCACCCGCUUUGCUUACAUGAACGGCGAUCAUCUGCGUCUGAGGAAAGAGUCGAAGCUGCGCACCGGCAGGCAGUAAGAAACGCGUGGAGCAACCGCGGAAGUAGUAGAGAUGUGUUUAUUUGUUUUUUUUUCUUUUUUUUGCGGCGGUGGUGGCGAGCGGGAACCACGAUCGUGAGAAUGAAAAGAAUAAUGCACGGCCACUUGUGUGGUAACAGCAAGAAAAAGGGUUCCGUCAUACGUCGCACAAGAGCAAGCGCAGCAACGACACGUGCACAGACACACACACACACAUAGGGAAAAAAAGAGAAGUGCAUAUUUGUUAUUUUCUUUUUUUUUUUCUGGAUGAGCUGUCUUCCCUGAUCUCGCUUAUCUCUUCUCGACCGUUCGUGUGAAUAACCGCAAGAACGACAACCACCAAGACAAGCAUGUCUCCUCCUACCGACGUCUCUUUUCAGACGCAAGAGGACGGAUGCACAAGGCGUCCCUCAUUCUUUCAACCCCCCCCCAGCCACCAUCAUACCCAUUAUAGUCAGCAUGUGUUAGUGGGGACUAUGGCAUGGCUACUUCCCUCCUCGUAGGGUAGAAAAGCCGGCGACUUCAGAAAGAAAUAUAUAUC
rnacentral:misc_RNA from 1 species